rnacentral:rRNA from 1 species
UACAGAGGUCUCAACCGUUGUUCGGAUUUAUUGGGCGUAAAGAGCGUGUAGGCGGCCAUACAGGUCCGUUGUGAAAACUGGAGGCUUAACCUCCAGACGUCGAUGGAAACCGUAUGGCUAGAGUCCGGAAGAGGAGAGUGGAAUUCCUGGUGUAGCGGUGAAAUGCGCAGAUAUCAGGAAGAACACCCGUGGCGAAGGCGGCUCUCUGGGACGGUACUGACGCUGAGACGCGAAAGCGUGGGGAGCGAACAGG